GACGAACGCUGGCGGCGUGCCUAAUACAUGCAAGUCGAACGCUUCUUUCCUCCCGAGUGCUUGCACUCAAUUGGAAGGAGGAGUGGCGGACGGGUGAGUAACACGUGGGUAACCUACCCAUCAGAGGGGGAUAACACUUGGAAACAGGUGCUAAUACCGCAUAACAGUUUAUGCCGCAUGGCAUAAGAGUGAAAGGCGCUUUCGGGUGUCGCUGAUGGAUGGACCCGCGGUGCAUUAGCUAGUUGGUGAGGUAACGGCUCACCAAGGCCGCGAUGCAUAGCCGACCUGAGAGGGUGAUCGGCCACACUGGGACUGAGACACGGCCCAGACUCCUACGGGAGGCAGCAGUAGGGAAUCUUCGGCAAUGGACGAAAGUCUGACCGAGCAACGCCGCGUGAGUGAAGAAGGUUUUCGGAUCGUAAAACUCUGUUGUUAGAGAAGAACAAGGACGUUAGUAACUGAACGUCCCCUGACGGUAUCUAACCAGAAAGCCACGGCUAACUACGUGCCA
rnacentral:rRNA from 1 species